CAACCAUUGGGCAUUGAGCAUUUCAUGCUGAGUUCAUCCAAACAACAAACGGGCGAUCAAUUCCAUGAAGGGGAACGAACGUUACUUUGGCCUUGAGAAUUUGGGCAACAUGCACUUGUUAUUGCAACAGUGUCUUGCAUGCAGGCACUAUACUUCUGUGUUCCAUUUCGGGAACAACUGCUGAAGUAUCAUGGAAAUAACAAAAGCAUAGGGGGUCUGGAAGAAAAUCUUUUGUCUUGCAUAGCUGACUUAUUUUCACAAUGCCUCGGGAAGAGGGUUGGGUGAAGCUUAAUGCUGAUGGAACCUCCUAUUCCUCUGCUGAUAUUGCUGGUUGUGGGGGUGUGGUCGAGUACCACUUUGGUGCCUUCAUGGUGGCUUUCUCAAAGAGGAUUCGAACGUAUUCUGCGCUACACACAGAGCUGUGGGGUUUACUACAUGGAACUCGUCUUUUAAUUUAGAGGGAUAUUAGUCGUGUUGUAAUGGAGUUAAUCUUAUGAUUUAGACUCAUCUUAUGAUAUACAUAAUG